GGUCAAAUGACAAUAGGCUUAUGGUGAAUACCUAGGCACCCAAAGUUGAUGAAGGGCGCGGAAACCGGCGAAACGCUUCGGGGAGUUGGAAACACGCUUUGAUCCGAAGAUACCCGAAUGGGGCAACCCUAUAAACUACCGACUGAAUUCAUAGGUCGGCAAGAAUUAACCCGCUGAACUGAAACAUCUUAGUAAGCGGAGGAAAAGAAAGCAAACGCGAUUCCCUUAGUAGCGGCGAGCGAAAUGGGAACAGCCUAAACCGGUCCGCCGGGGUUGUGGGAAGAUUAUCACAUAAAGAUUUUGAACCAAAGUCGAAACGAAGCAGCUGAAUCCUGCACCAUAGAUGGUGAAAGUCCAGUAGUUAAAAAUUUUUCAAAAUCAGAUUUUCUUAUCCCGAGUAGCAUGGGGCACGUGGAACCCCGUGUGAAUCAGCGAGGACCACCUCGUAAGGCUAAAUACUCUUGGGUGACCGAUAGUGAAACAGUACCGUGAGGGAAAGGUGAAAUAGAACCCCAGUAGGGGAGUGCAAUAGAACAUGAAACCAUAAGCUCACAAUCUGUGGGAGGGCUUUGAGCCUGACCGCGUUCCUGUUGAAGAAUGAGCCGGCGACUUAUAGGGAGUGGCUUGGUUAAGGAGUUUUUUCCGGAGCCUAAGCGAAAGCGAGUCUGAAUAGGGCGCUUGUCACUUCUUAUGGACCCGAACCCGGGUGAUCUAACCAUGACCAGGAUGAAGCUUGGGUAAAACCAAGUGGAAGACCGAACCGACCAAUGUUGAAAAAUUGGCGGAUGAGUUGUGGUUAGGGGAGAAAUUCUAAUCGAACUCGGAGCUAGCUGGUUCUCUUCGAAAUGUGUUGAGGCGCAGCGGUUGGCGACGGGCUGUCUAGGGGUAAAGCACUGUUUCGGUGCGGGCUGGGAAACUGGUACCAAAUCGUAGCAAACUCAGAAUACUAGGCAUGCUUUCCGUCAACCAGUGAGACGGUGGGGGAUAAGCUUCAUCGUCGAGAGGGAAACAGCCCAGAUCAUCAGCUAAGGCCCCUAAAUGGCAGCUAAGUGGCAAAGGAUGUGCGAGUGCGGAGACAACCAGAAGGUUUGCUUAGAAGCAGCCACCCUUAAAAGAGUGCGUAAUAGCUCACUGGUAGAGCGCUCGUGCGCCGAAAAUGAACGGGACUAAGCUGCCUGCCGAAGCUGUGGGAUUAUUUUUGUGCAUAGGCACUUAAAAGAAUCGGUAGAAGAGCGUUCUGAUCUAGGGUGAAGUAUCAACGUAAGUUGGUGUGGACGAAUCAGAAGUGAGAAUGUCGGCUUGAGUAGCGCAAACAUUGGUGAGAAUCCAAUGCCCCGAAAACCUAAGGGUUCCUCCACAAGGCUCGUCCAUGGAGGGUGAGUCAGGACCUAAGACGAGGCCGAAAGGCGUAGCCGAUGGCAAACAGGUUAAUAUUCCUGUACUGACUCUUAUUUGACAACGAGGGACGAAGGAGGCUAAAUUGUCUGGGUUUUGGGAUCCAGUGGAAGCGUCCGAGGCUUUGAGAGGUAGAAUAAAAACUAACCUUGAGCGUAGGCGUGAUCCGGUUUAGUGUGUCUGUACUUGUAUAAACCACUAGACUCAAUUGAUGUCACACUUCCAAGAAAAGCUCGCACUGUCUAUAAAUAAGAGUUACCUGUACCCUAAACCGACACAGGUGGGUAGGUAGAGAAUACUAAGGGGCGCGAGAUAACUCUCUCUAAGGAACUCGGCAAAAUGGCCCCGUAACUUCGGGAGAAGGGGUGCCCUCUUUAUGAGGGUUGCAGUGACCAGGCCCAAGCGACUGUUUAUCAAAAACACAGGUCUCCGCUAAGUCGAAAGACGAUAUAUGGGGGCUGACAUCUGCCCAGUGCCGGAAGGUGAAGGAAGUCGGUUAUUGCUUGCAAGAAGCUGACGACCGAAGCCCCGGUGAACGGCGGCCGUAACUCUGACGGUUAAUUUAGGGCUGUCAUAAAAGGUUACUAUAUGCUGGAACAUCCUAAAGGUAAAUUCAACCGAGUAGGUGAUAUCGGAUUUACUCUUGGACAAUCAGCAGGAAAUAAAAAUUCGAUGGUUCACAAAAUGUGGAAUUUACCAAAAUCAAUCUCAAAAUAAAACUAAGGAGGUAUUUAUAUGAAUUUACCACUUAUGCGAGAAGACGGUACAACGAUUUCUCAAAAGGAUCUUUCUUACAGCCAAAAGAGAAACUUAUACCGUAAAGAAUUUGGUUUUUUACCUGACACUUUAACAAACAAAUAUCUUCUUUUCUUAGGAGGGUUUGUAGAAGGGGAAGGUUCUAUCACCGUAAAUGUUCGAGCAAACGUUGAAGAAAAAGGACCAAUGCGGGUAGACGGUGAGUUUAAUGUAACUCAAUCAUUACCUGGCGUUGUACACUUGCUUGCUUUUUUUGUUUACAUGCACACAGGUAGCAUUAAGUUUAAACAAGGAAGUAACGCGACGUACGUGUUCUAUAUUCAAAGUCGACAAACACUGAUCGAGAAAGUUGUUCCGUUUUAUGAACGGUAUGUUCUACCAUACUCAUGCGAGGAUAAAGUAAAUUCCUUUCGCGCAUGGCAUAAGACUAUUCAAUUAUUACAAGAGGGCGCGCACAAAGAUAACGCCCGCUUGCGUAAUGAACUUCUUCCUUUGGUCUAUCAAGUUAAUCGACAAAGUGGUAAGGAACGCAAAUUCCCCACACUUGAACAAGCACAAGACUACUUAGAUAGUUUAUAAUUUUUAGAUCCUCAGAGACUAUACGUAACCCGAAGACACAAUAGUGGAGAGUAUCCGUUGUGUUUCUUUGAAGAUAUAGUCCAGCUUCUAGUGAAAGUUAGAAGAUUUUAAACACCUGCCUAAGGUUAAAGAUAGCUCUUUACAAAAUCGCUAGCCUUAGUAAAACCAAACUAAAUGCUGGAAACCUCCCAAAAACUUCUCAGUACUCGUGGUUCUGAGUAAAUGUUGUAGAUAGUUGCUAAUGAGCACCAUUAGUACACAUUUGNNNCGAGUUAA
rnacentral:rRNA from 1 species